CAGAGGGUGCGAGCGUUAAUCGGAUUUACUGGGCGUAAAGCGUGUGUAGGUGGCUACCUAAGUCGAUUGUGAAAUCCCUGGGCUCAACCUGGGAAUUGCAGUCGAUACUGGGCAGCUCGAGUUCGGUAGAGGGUGACGGAAUUCCCGGUGUAGCGGUGAAAUGCGUAGAUAUCGGGAGGAACAUCGAUGGCGAAGGCAAUCACCUGGGCCUGAACUGACACUGAGACACGAAAGCGUGGGUAGCAAACAGGAUUAGAUACCCUGGUAGUCCACGCUGUAACGAUGGAAACCUGACGUCGGUUUGCUCUGCGAAUCGGUGUCGUAGCUAACGCGCUAAGUUUCCCGCCUGGGGAGUACGGCCGCAGGGUUG
rnacentral:rRNA from 1 species